ensembl:snoRNA U3 Small nucleolar RNA U3
GAGACUAUACUUUCAGGGAUCAUUUCUAUAGUAUCCAACUAGAGGAAUGCACUCGAAAGUGAUCGGCUGAGAUUCUCAGGCAUCCAGGUUAUGGU